AGUCUGAAUAGGGCGACUUAGUAUGUGGACGUAGACCCGAAACCGUGUGAUCUACCCCUGUCCAGGGUGAAGGUGCGGUAACACGCACUGGAGGCCCGAACCCACGUACGUUGAAAAGUGCGGGGAUGAGGUGGGGGUAGCGGAGAAAUUCCAAUCGAACUCGGAGAUAGCUGGUUCUCCCCGAAAUAGCUUUAGGGCUAGCCUCGGUAUAAGAGUAGUGGAGGUAGAGCACUGAUUGGGUGCGGGGUCCGCAAGGAUUACCAAGCUCAGUCAAACUCCGAAUGCCAUAUACUUAUUGCCGGGAGUCAGACAGUGAGUGCUAAGAUCCAUUGUCAAAAGGGAAACAGCCCAGACCAUCAGCUAAGGUCCCCAAGUGUGUGUUAAGUGGGAAAGGAUGUGGAGUUGCACAGACAACCAGGAUGUUGGCUUAGAAGCAGCCACCAUUGAAAGAGUGCGUAAUAGCUCACUGGUCGAGUGACUCUGCGCCGAAAAUGUAACGGGGCUAAACACACCACCGAAGCUAUGGCUAGAUACUAUGUAUCUGGGGUAGGGGAGCGUUGUGUAGGGGUUGAAGGUGUACUGAAAAGAGCGCUGGACACUACACAAGUGAGAAUGCCGGUAUGAGUAACGAAAAGAUCAGUGAGAAUCUGAUCCGCCGAAAGCCCAAGGUUUCCUGAGGAAGGCUCGUCCGCUCAGGGUAAGUCGGGACCUAAGGCGAGGCCGAAAGGCGUAGUCGAAGGACAACAGUUUGAAAUUACUGUACCACCGUAAUCCGCUAUGAGCGAUGGGGUGACGCAGGAGGGUAGUGACGCGGACUGAUGGAUGUCCGUCUAAGCAGUGAGGCUGAUGUGUAGGCAAAUCCGCACAUCAUUAAGGCUAGGCUGUGAUGGGGAGCGAAAAUUAUAGUAGCGAAGGUCAUGAUCUCACACUGCCAAGAAAAGCCUCUAGCCAGGAGAAGGUGCCCGUACCGCAAACCGACACAGGUAGGCGAGAAGAGAAUUCUAAGGCGCGCGGAAGAACUCUCGUUAAGGAACUCGGCAAAAUGACCCCGUAACUUCGGGAGAAGGGGUGCCCCGGUAGUGUGAAUAGCACGAGGGGGCCGCAGUGAAAAGGCCCAAGCGACUGUUUAGCAAAAACACAGGUCUGUGCGAAGCCGCAAGGCGAAGUAUACGGGCUGACGCCUGCCCGGUGCUGGAAGGUUAAGGGGAGUGGUUAGGGGUAACCCGAAGCUAUGAACCGAAGCCCCAGUAAACGGCGGCCGUAACUAUAACGGUCCUAAGGUAGCGAAAUUCCUUGUCAGGUAAAUUCUGACCCGCACGAAUGGCGUAACGACUUGGGCGCUGUCUCAACGAGAGAUCCGGUGAAAUUUUAAUACCUGUGAAGAUGCAGGUUACCCGCGACAAGACGGAAAGACCCCAUGGAGCUUUACUGCAGCUUGAUAUUGAAUUUGGGUACGAUCUGUACAGGAUAGGUGGGAGCCGUAGAAAUCGGAGCGCAAGCUUCGGUGGAGGCGCCGUUGGGAUACCACCCUGAUCGUAUCUAGGUUCUAACCUAGUACCCUUACCGGGUACGGGGACCGUGUCAGGCGGGCAGUUUGACUGGGGCGGUCGCCUCCUAAAGAGUAACGGAGGCGUUCCAAGGUUCCCUCAGAAUGGUUGGAAAUCAUUCGCAGAGUGCAAAGGCAUAAGGGAGCUUGACUGCGAGACCUACAAGUCGAGCAGGGACGAAAGUCGGACUUAGUGAUCCGGUGGUACCGCAUGGAAGGGCCAUCGCUCAACGGAUAAAAGCUACCCUGGGGAUAACAGGCUUAUCUCCCCCAAGAGUCCACAUCGACGGGGAGGUUUGGCACCUCGAUGUCGGCUCAUCGCAUCCUGGGGCUGAAGUAGGUCCCAAGGGUUGGGCUGUUCGCCCAUUAAAGCGGUACGCGAGCUGGGUUCAGAACGUCGUGAGACAGUUCGGUCCCUAUCUGUCGUGGGCGCAGGAAAUUUGAGAGGAGCUGUCCUUAGUACGAGAGGACCGGGAUGGACGUACCGCUGGUGCACCAGUUGUUCCGCCAGGAGCAUGGCUGGGUAGCUACGUACGGACGGGAUAAGCGCUGAAAGCAUCUAAGCGUGAAGCCCCCCUCAAGAUGAGAUUUCCCAAUUAGUAAGACCCCUUGAAGACGACGAGGUAGAUAGGUUGGAGGUGGAAGUGCAGCAAUGCAUGGAGCUGACCAAUACUAAUCGGUCGAGGGCUUAUCCUAU
rnacentral:rRNA from 1 species